AUGGAACGUAUGUCGACCUCAUAUUUCAAGGAGGUAUAUACCAAGGAUCCGACACUUUCGCCGGAGGUGGUGUUGGGGGGUAUUGUACCUAAAGUUACCCAAGCUAUGAAUGAUACACUCUGUGCUCCCUUUUCAGAAGAGGAGGUGUCUACUGCGCUCUUUCAGAUUGGCCCUAUCAAGGCGCCAGGUACUGAUGGGCUGCCAGCGAGGUUUUACCAGAGAAACUGGGGUGUGCUGAGGACAGAGAUUGUGGCUGCAGUUUUUGACUUCUUUAAGUCAGGAAUAAUGCUGGAUGGGGUAAAUGAUACGGCUAUCGUUCUUAUUCCGAAAGUUCCACACCUAAAGGAGCUCAAGGAUUUUAGACCGAUUAGCUUAUGUAACGUGUUAUACAAAAUUGUUUCGAAGUGUCUCGUCAACCGGCUUCGGCCUAUACUUGGAGAUUUGAUUUCUGAAAACCAAAGUGCCUUUGUUCCAGGUCGGCUGAUUUCUAAUAACUCUAUCAUUGCCUUUGAGUGCAUACAUCAUAUACAAUCACUGAAGCAGAACAGACCGGCGGCGUGCGCUUACAAACUUGAUCUCUCAAAGGCUUAUGAUCGGGUGGAUUGGGAGUUUUUGGAGCAAGCCCUAUUUAAAUGGGGCUUUUCUUCGGAGUGGAUCGCAUGGAUUAUGGCGUGUGUUAAAUCGGUGAAAUAUUCGGUGAAGUUCAAUGGGAGAAUACUAGAGUCAUUCACCCCAUCUAGGGGUUUGAGGCAAGGUGAUCCACUGUCCCCCUUCUUGUUCCUAUUUGUUGCUGAUGUUCUUUCCUCUCUUAUCACAAAUUCAGUUAACAAUGGGGACUUGAGAGGGGUAUCAAUUUGCCGGGGUGCACCGGUGAUUUCUCAUUUGUUGUUUGCGGAUGAUACCAUGUUACUCUUUGAAGUGUCAACCCAGCAAGCAAGCGUUGUUAAAGGUUUGUUGAACACAUAUACCUCAGAGACGGGUCAACUUAUUAACUCCGGGAAGUGUUCCAUCCUUUUCUCCGAUAAUUGCAUGCAGUCGGUGGCGGACGAAGUGAAACAUAUUCUGGAGAUUACUCAGCAGGUUUUUGAGCCUAAAUACUUGGGCUUACCGGUCCCGGAAGGAAGAAUGCAUAAAGGACAGUUUGAGACUGUUCAAGAAAGAUUACGGAAGAGACUUGUUGACUGGAGCGAGCAGUAUGUAUCGUCGGGCAACAAGGAGAUUUUAAUAAAGGCAGUUGCGCAAGCAAUACCAACUUAUGUCAUGAGUGUUUUCCGUCUUCCUGCUUCGGUUUGUGAUGAUCUCACACGGAUGAUGAGACAAUAUUGGUGGGGUGUGGAGAAUGGCAAACGGAAGAUGGCAUGGCUCAAUACGGAAAAGAUGAUGCUACCCAAGAAUAUGGGAGGUAUGGGGUUUCGAGAUAUGAGAGCGUUUAACCAAGCUUUGCUCGCUAAACAAGCGUGGAGAUUAUUGGACAGCCCUGAUAGUUUAUGUACCCGCUUGCUUCGGGCAAAGUAUUAUCCCAACGGGAACUUGUUGGACACAGUGUUCCCUACAUCUUCGUCUGCUGUGUGGAGAGGCAUCACCCAUUGUUUGGAGCUGCUC
rnacentral:rRNA from 1 species